AUUGAACGCUGGCGGCAUGCCUUACACAUGCAAGUCGAACGGUAACAGGUCUUCGGGCGCUGACGAGUGGCGAACGGGCGAGUAAUACAUCGGAACGUGCUCGACCGUGGGGGAUAACGAGGCGAAAGCUUUGUUAAUACCGCAUACGAUCGACGGAUGAAAGCGGUGGAUCUUCGGACCUCGCGCGGGCGGAGCGACGGGUGGCCGGCUAGGUAGUUGGUGGGUUAAAGGCUUACCAAGCCGACGAUCUGCAGCUGGUCGGAGAGGAUGAGCGGCCCCACUGGGACUGAGACACGGCCCAGACUCCUACGGGAGGCAGCAGUGGGGAAUUUUGGACAAUGGGCGAAAGCCUGAUCCAGCCAUGCCGCGUGCAGGAUGAAGGCCUUCGGGUUGUAAACUGCUUUUGUACGGAAAGAAAAGCCUCUUACUAAUAAAGAGGGGUCAUGACGGUACCGUAAGAAUAAGCACCGGCUAACUACGUG
rnacentral:rRNA from 1 species